CAGUGUUACUCAAAAUCAUUCAAAAGGAGACAGUGCUAUCUGAAGGACUGAAUAAAUGAGUGAAUUAAUACAAAAUGAUGAAAUUGAUUGAGCAAUAGAGUCUGAGAGCUGAUGGAAGAGUGGUGGUUGCCGCUGAACUUUUCUCCGAUGACCCACUGUGUUGAAGCUCCACAGACGCAGUUUCUUUUGAUCUGAAAGGAAAAGAAAGAAAGAAAGAAAAGAAAUACUACUCAAGGCAAGCAAGGCCAAUGUUUUUGUUCCAAAUUUCAUAGAUAAAAUAAAUUAAGAGGUGACUGAGAUCUUAAAAUGUGCUGUAUGACACAAAACUAGUAUGUGGUAGCUCUGGGUCUAGAACGCAAGCAAAAUUUAAGAGAUUCUAUAGUAGGGAG
rnacentral:lncRNA from 1 species